UACGGAGGGUGCAAGCGUUGUCCGGAUUUAUUGGGUUUAAAGGGUGCGUAGGCGGCCUGAUAAGUCCGUGGUGAAAGCCCAUCGCUCAACGAUGGAACUGCCAUGGAUACUGUUAGGCUUGAGUACAGACGAGGUAGGCGGAAUUGAUGCUGUAGCGGUGAAAUGCAUAGAUAGCAUCAAGAACACCGAUUGCGUAGGCAGCUUACUAGGCUGUAACUGACGCUGAGGCACGAAAGCGUGGGGAGCGAACAGG
rnacentral:rRNA from 1 species